UGGCAGUGACGACGCAGUUGUUUAUCCGCGCUGCUGAUCCAGCAAGUGAAGACGAAGAACAAUUAAACGGUUGAAUUUCUUGAACUGAGCCA
rnacentral:snoRNA from 1 species